rnacentral:lncRNA from 1 species
UUGGGUGCCAAUUAAAUUGACAAGCGCUGAGCCCAGUUGGAUUACUUCGACUUGUCUGAUGAGACACUAGUUCCCAAAUGUAUCAAUGAGCGUUAGGUGUAAGUUAUUCACUUCGAAAGACUAGUAUGAAAUUUGGAGUAUGGUAUGCUAUUACGGUAUAAAUAAUACAUUUGGUAUAAUGUUAUGUUUUAAUAAAACCUUGAAAGUUCUCUUAAAAUCUUAUCGCAUUGAUAUUGCUUAUAAUGAUGUCUUUGUAUAGAUUACUCAACGUUCAAUUGUUUCUAUACACAGGUUAGAUUAAGUACGUGAUCCUAUAUAUCGAUUUCAGCAUCCAGUGAAGAUCUCGGACUCAAUAAUGAUGGUGAACUUCCUUGUUAGUCAAUUGGCAUGUACCUAGGGGUGUCAUUUUGUAUAUUGUAUAUGAUUUAUUUUGGUUGAUCACAAGUUGAACUUAUAUGGCGUUUGACUUUGAAUACUAUAAAGAGUGUAUAAAAGUGUGAAUGAUGGCAUUAUGAUAAUUUAUGAUUGAAGCAUUUGGAUGGAAAAUUUUGAAUGUGGAUAAUGGAAUUAAGGUGAUUGAGAAUGGCAUAGAUUAUUUGAUAUGAAAAUGUGAUGUUAAUACAUGUUAUAAUGCAUGCUUGAAUGACUUAAAUUGGUAUGUAUUACUUUGUUGUGUAUUGGUACCAAUGAGACAUAUUUGUUUGAUGUUUAGGAUGAUGAAUGGUGAUAUGUUUGGCAUGGUUUGAGAAUGCUUGGAAUAGGUUUAAACAUGGUUAAAUGCAUAUGUAUGAUCUAAUUGUAAAGUUGAGUUGAAAACUUGUAUAAGAAGGCACAUUUAGGAUCCGCAUGGGCACAAUGAGGUACACGGCUUGAAUACACGGUCGUGUGAUCCCUGUUUACAAUUUUUUUCUUCUUUUUGAAACAUUUCCAGUUUGAUCUUUAUUUGUUCUCGGGUUGGCUUAAAAGCUCUCGUAAGCUCAUUUGAGACUCAGUUUAGUUUGAGACUCAGUUUAGUUUGUAAAUCAUAUUUGGCAUGGUUUAUGAAGUAUUUUAUUGUUUAAUCAGAAUUUUGAGCUUAACUUAAACGUGAUCUAUUUGGGUAAUUGCAGUAACAUUCCAUAGCUCGGGUUCAGCAACCUGACCAGACCGGGUAAGGGGUGUUACAAGUUUAAUAGUUUAUUGAGGAUGUAUCAAACAUAUUUAUGUUCUCCAGUUUAAUAAUAUAGAACUAAAUAGUGCUUGUACAUCAAUAAAAUUAUAUUUUUUAUUUGGAUUUUAAAAUAAUGAUUUUAGGUGCAUUGGCUU